CCGUCCGAGUUGUAGUUUAGAGAGGUGUCUUCCGCGUCGGACCGUGUACAAGUCCCUUGGGAUAGGGCGUCAUAGAGGGUGAGAAUCCCGUCCAUGACACGGACUACCGGUGCUAUGUGAUGCGCCCUCAAAGAGUCGGGUUGUUUGGGAAUGCAGCUCAAAAUGGGUGGUAAAUUCCAUCUAAAGCUAAAUAUUGGCGAGAGACCGAUAGCGCACAAGUACCGUGAGGGAAAGGUGAAAAGCACUUUGGAAAGAGAGUUAAACAGUACGUGAAAUUGCCGAAAGGGAAACGCUUGGAGUCAGUCGCGUUGGCCGGGACUCAGCCGGGCUUCUGCCUGGUGUACUUCUCGGUCGAUGGGCCAGCAUCGAUUUUGGUCGCCGGAUAAUGGCGUUGGGAAUGUGGCACCUUCGGGUGUGUUAUAGCCCUUCGUCGCAUACGGUGACUGGGAUCGAGGAACGCAGCACGCCCUCACGGGCCGGGGUUCGCCCACGUACGUGCUUCGGAUGCUGGCGUAAUGGCUUUAAACGACCCGUCUUGAAACACGGACCAAGGAGUCUAACAUGCCUGCGAGUGUUAGGGUGCCAAACCCUUGCGCGUAAUGAAAGUGAAAGGUUGGGACUCCCCUCAAAAGGAGGCACCGACGCCCGAUCCUGACGUUCUCUGACGGAUUUGAGGCAAGA
rnacentral:rRNA from 1 species